CGCAUCUGUGCAUGCAGCAUAUCAAUAAGCGGAGGAAAAGAAACUAACAAGGAUUCCCCUAGUAACGGCGAGUGAAGCGGGAAGAGCUCAAAUUUGAAAUCUUAAAGGGUUUCCCUUUACGAAUUGUAGUUUAAAGAAGUGUUUUCUGUUGAGGUUUUGGUAAAAGUUCUUUGGAAUAGGACAUCAUAGAGGGUGAGAAUCCCGUAUUUGACCUUUACUUUCAACUUUGUGAUACACUUUCAAAGAGUCGGAUUGUUUGGGAAUGCAGUCCAAAAUGGGUGGUAAAUUUCAUCUAAAGCUAAAUAUUGGCGAGAGACCGAUAGCGAACAAGUACCGUGAGGGAAAGAUGAAAAGAACUUUGAAAAGAGAGUUAAACAGUACGUGAAAUUGUCAAAAGGGAAGCGUUUGACACCAGUGUUGUUUUUCUGAAAAUCAAUUAAAGAACUGUUUAUGCUAAGCUGUUUAGACUUUAUCAGCUAUCUGUUUAGUUUUGAGCUUUUCUUUAAUGCACUUUUCAGUUAACAAGUCAACAUCAAUUUCUUUUGCUGUAAAAGAGCUUGAGGAAGGUGGCUUGAGAUUCGUCUUAAGUGUUUAUAGCCUCUUGCCUAUGCAGUCGGAGAGAUUGAGGUCUGCAGCGUAGAUCCUUCGGGGCUAAAUGCAUUUGUGCUAAGUUAUAGCAUUUUAUAGACAACUUGUUGACUAUGAUUUGUCUUGUAGCUUACUCGCUUAUGUUAUUUUACCUACGCUUAGGAUGUUGAACGCGCACAGAGUCUC
rnacentral:rRNA from 1 species